ensembl:lncRNA
GGGGGCGCUGUGGUACUGACCAUAGGGGGCGCUGUGGUAUUGACCGUAGGGUGCUCUGUGGUUCUGACCGUAGGGGGCGCUGUGGAACUGACCAUAGGUCACACACACACACACACGCACGCACGCACGCACGCACGCACGCACACACACACACACACACACACACACACACACACACACACACACACACACACACACACACACACGAUCAAAAGCGAAACCUAAAGCAUAUUAAGCUAAAGCAAAGCGAAAGUUUGACAGAGCAGUAUCAUGGCAGAGAGAUGUUAUGAAACUAUCGGAACGGCUCCACAAGGUGUGAAUGAUAUCAUCUCUAGCGGCGGAACCAUGAGAAAGUUUUACACUGUCAAUGGGGACACUGCUGUGACCAAUGAAUUUACAACCAAACUCAAGAAGGAAGGCAAGACUGAAGUGUCAAAGGAGAAACGUGAGUUCACCCUGGCCUUCUGUCGGAUCAGCACCAGGCCUGGCAUCGACAUCCAGGAGACUCAAGACAAAUGUCCAGAACCUGCAGAUGGUAAGCCAGUUAUCCUGGUGCUGCUGCAUCACACCUUUGAUCCUAAAUAUUGUGACUACCGUGGCCCGGGAAUAAAGAACGAUGCCUCCACCAUUCUCUCUGUGGACCUCCUGUACUACGAAGACCGCCUGCUCAAAUGUCCUCACAAUAAAAGAGGACUCAAACAGGUCCUGGAUGUGGUUGGACGACCGUCCUCGAAGGAGAAAAUCAGGAUGUGGAUCCGUCCCUUCUGUUGUUGCUAGUCAUGCAACAACCCUGAAUAACCGUCGUAACAAUGGAAUCACUAAUCUAUAUAAAUAUUUAAAAAAAUUCUGUAUCAUUGUAAUAAUUGUCCACUACAUAUAAGAAAAUAAUGAUAUCCAAUAAGUUAAACAAGCUCAUAUAUAUAUAUAUAUAUUAGAGCUGUCAGUUAAACGCGUUAUUAACGGCGUUAACGCAAACCAAUUUUAACGGCGUUAAAGAAUUAACGCGCGAUUAACGCAAUUGUUUUAUUAAAAAAAAAAAAAAAGUUUUUUUUUUUUUUCUUUGGCUCAAAACAUAGAAGCAGUAGCCUGACUGCUAUGUUCAAAUGACAUUUGUUCAAAGCAGUCGUUUAAUUGCACUAUAGGCUCUUUUUUUGUAUAUGCCAAUGUUGUUAUCAAUAAAAAAUCAUUUGCACAAGGCAAGCCGAUGCACUUCACCAUGUUGAUAAGAUAAUUAAAAUGAGAAGAAUUAUGGGACAAAAAAAUCAAGGGAUAUUUAGCAUAGCAAAAGAAUUUGCGAUUAAUCGCGAUUAAUCGUGAGUUAACUAUGACAUUAAUGCGAUUAAUCACGAUUAAAUAUUUUAAUCGCUUGACAGCUCUAAUAUAUAUAUUCAUAUGUGUGUGUUUGUGUGCAUGUGUUAUUUGUCAUAUAUCAUAACCGGGAUGCAUUUCGUGUUGCUCUGUAUUCCAAUGAUUAAAGCUGUUUAAAUGGAACUUGUUGUUAAUGGCUUGCUUUGUUUCCCUAGACUAGAGGCCUAACUGAGUAUUGUCUGACCAGCAACAUGUUUUAGUGUUGUAAACAAAGCUAAAUGCCACAGGAGUUGUGUUUUGGUGGUAC